rnacentral:lncRNA from 1 species
UACACCUAGUUUGAAGAUGAUCUUUUUGCUUGCUUGUAUUUGCUGGAGCUUAUGGUUAAUUCGUAAUGAUUUUGUUUUCAACAACAAGGUUAUUUCGAACCCUAAUGUGGUGGUGCAUCGAUCAAUUAUCUUCAUGCAGAAAUGGAGCAUUCUACUGAAGGAGAAAGAAAAAGGCUGGAUUUCGAAGACGGUGGAACGACUUUCAAGAAUUUUGACGUAAAGCGUCCAAGAUUAGUGGUGUAGCAGAGAAGUGGAGAGUUAAAAUGCUCAAGAAAAAGAG